rnacentral:rRNA from 1 species
UUAAGCGACUAAGCGUACACGGUGGAUGCCCUGGCAGUCAGAGGCGAUGAAGGACGUGCUAAUCUGCGAAAAGCGUCGGUAAGGUGAUAUGAACCGUUAUAACCGGCGAUGUCCGAAUGGGGAAACCCAGUGCAAUUCGUUGCACUAUCGUUAACUGAAUACAUAGGUUAACGAGGCGAACCGGGGGAACUGAAACAUCUAAGUACCCCGAGGAAAAGAAAUCAACCGAGAUUCCCCCAGUAGCGGCGAGCGAACGGGGAGCAGCCCAGAGUCUGAAUCAGCUUGUGUGUUAGUGGAACGGUCUGGAAAGUCCGACGGUACAGGGUGAUAGUCCCGUACACCAAAAUGCACAGGCUGUGAACUCGAAGAGUAGGGCGGGACACGUGGUAUCCUGUCUGAAUAUGGGGGGACCAUCCUCCAAGGCUAAAUACUCCUGACUGACCGAUAGUGAACCAGUACCGUGAGGGAAAGGCGAAAAGAACCCCGGCGAGGGGAGUGAAAAAGAACCUGAAACCGUGUACGUACAAGCAGUGGGAGCACCUUCGGGUGUGACUGCGUACCUUUUGUAUAAUGGGUCAGCGACUUAUAUUCUGUAGCAAGGUUAACCGUAUAGGGGAGCCGCAGGGAAACCGAGUCUUAACUGGGCGUUAAGUUGCAGGGUAUAGACCCGAAACCCGGUGAUCUAGCCAUGGGCAGGUUGAAGGUUGGGUAACACUAACUGGAGGACCGAACCGACUAAUGUUGAAAAAUUAGCGGAUGACUUGUGGCUGGGGGUGAAAGGCCAAUCAAACCGGGAGAUAGCUGGUUCUCCCCGAAAGCUAUUUAGGUAGCGCCUCGUGAAUUCAUCUUCGGGGGUAGAGCACUGUUUCGGCUAGGGGGUCAUCCCGACUUACCAACCCGAUGCAAACUACGAAUACCGAAGAAUGUUAUCACGGGAGACACACGGCGGGUGCUAACGUCCGUCGUGAAGAGGGAAACAACCCAGACCGCCAGCUAAGGUCCCAAAGUCAUGGUUAAGUGGGAAACGAUGUGGGAAGGCACAGACAGCCAGGAUGUUGGCUUAGAAGCAGCCAUCAUUUAAAGAAAGCGUAAUAGCUCACUGGUCGAGUCGGCCUGCGCGGAAGAUGUAACGGGGCUAAACCAUGCACCGAAGCUGCGGCAGCGACACUAUGUGUUGUUGGGUAGGGGAGCGUUCUGUAAGCCUGCGAAGGUGUGCUGUGAGGCAUGCUGGAGGUAUCAGAAGUGCGAAUGCUGACAUAAGUAACGAUAAAGCGGGUGAAAAGCCCGCUCGCCGGAAGACCAAGGGUUCCUGUCCAACGUUAAUCGGGGCAGGGUGAGUCGACCCCUAAGGCGAGGCCGAAAGGCGUAGUCGAUGGGAAACAGGUUAAUAUUCCUGUACUUGGUGUUACUGCGAAGGGGGGACGGAGAAGGCUAUGUUAGCCGGGCGACGGUUGUCCCGGUUUAAGCAUGUAGGCUGGUUAUCCAGGCAAAUCCGGAUAAUCAAGGCUGAGGUGUGAUGACGAGGCACUACGGUGCUGAAGUAAUAAAUGCCCUGCUUCCAGGAAAAGCCUCUAAGCAUCAGGUAACAUCAAAUCGUACCCCAAACCGACACAGGUGGUCAGGUAGAGAAUACCAAGGCGCUUGAGAGAACUCGGGUGAAGGAACUAGGCAAAAUGGUGCCGUAACUUCGGGAGAAGGCACGCUGGUGUGUAGGUGAAGCCCCUGCGGGUGGAGCUGAGACCAGUCGAAGAUACCAGCUGGCUGCAACUGUUUAUUAAAAACACAGCACUGUGCAAACACGAAAGUGGACGUAUACGGUGUGACGCCUGCCCGGUGCCGGAAGGUUAAUUGAUGGGGUUAUCCGUAAGGAGAAGCUCUUGAUCGAAGCCCCGGUAAACGGCGGCCGUAACUAUAACGGUCCUAAGGUAGCGAAAUUCCUUGUCGGGUAAGUUCCGACCUGCACGAAUGGCGUAAUGAUGGCCAGGCUGUCUCCACCCGAGACUCAGUGAAAUUGAACUCGCUGUGAAGAUGCAGUGUACCCGCGGCAAGACGGAAAGACCCCGUGAACCUUUACUAUAGCUUGACACUGAACAUUGAGCCUUGAUGUGUAGGAUAGGUGGGAGGCUUUGAAGCGUGGACGCCAGUCUGCGUGGAGCCAACCUUGAAAUACCACCCUUUAAUGUUUGAUGUUCUAACGUUGGCCCCUGACCGGGGUUGCGGACAGUGUCUGGUGGGUAGUUUGACUGGGGCGGUCUCCUCCCAAAGCGUAACGGAGGAGCACGAAGGUUAGCUAAUCCUGGUCGGACAUCAGGAGGUUAGUGCAAUGGCAUAAGCUAGCUUGACUGCGAGCGUGACGGCGCGAGCAGGUGCGAAAGCAGGUCAUAGUGAUCCGGUGGUUCUGAAUGGAAGGGCCAUCGCUCAACGGAUAAAAGGUACUCCGGGGAUAACAGGCUGAUACCGCCCAAGAGUUCAUAUCGACGGCGGUGUUUGGCACCUCGAUGUCGGCUCAUCACAUCCUGGGGCUGAAGUAGGUCCCAAGGGUAUGGCUGUUCGCCAUUUAAAGUGGUACGCGAGCUGGGUUUAGAACGUCGUGAGACAGUUCGGUCCCUAUCUGCCGUGGGCGCUGGAGAAUUGAGGGGGGCUGCUCCUAGUACGAGAGGACCGGAGUGGACGCAUCACUGGUGUUCGGGUUGUCAUGCCAAUGGCACUGCCCGGUAGCUAAAUGCGGAAGAGAUAAGUGCUGAAAGCAUCUAAGCACGAAACUUGCCCCGAGAUGAGUUCUCCCUGAGACUUUAAGUCUCCUGAAGGAACGUUGAAGACGACGACGUUGAUAGGCCGGGUGUGUAAGCGCAGCGAUGCGUUGAGCUAACCGGUACUAAUGAACCGUGAGGCUUAACCUU